rnacentral:lncRNA from 1 species
UGGCACCUAGUCUUCAUCCUAUUCCAAAGACAAAUGUUGCUAGUUCUAAAGAGCCUUUUUGAUCCCUGCAUCCUAAAUAACCUUGAGCAAUUGGUAGCCAAAGAAAGACACUAUAGUUCCAAAACCUUAUUUCAACAUAUACACUUGUGAGAAAUCGCUACAAACACAAUAGCAGAAGCUAGAAGCUUGUAGGAACAGUUGCUUUGAAUGGAGUGCAUUGCAAAGGGCUCUCAAAUACUAAAAAUAAAAACAAUCAAAAAAAAAUCAGGUCAUUCUUUUCUCUAUUUCUUGAAUAAUCACAGGUGUCCUGCACCAGAGUUAGAGCAGCACUGUGCUCUCAAGGAUCUCAGCACUGUUGGGUCACUGGCCAGGAAAUUCCAGUACUGAUCUUACUUCAGCAGGAACAACUGGAGGAACCCUGUGAAAUCUGGGAACUCUAAAGUAGGAAUGUAUACAAGACAAAGAAUGUGGUAGGGUUAUCUUGAACCACACCUGGAAAAACAUCACAUCCUGAAAGAAUCUUAGUCUGCAUCUGAAGUAAAUAAACCAUGUUAUCUUGAUUAGCAAAUAUGCAUGAAGACUAUUAACUACCUUGAUGGGUGGUCUACAAAUAAACAGGAUACAAGUUAAAGAGAAAAGCAGCCACUGUGAGAAAAUCAGCCUUUCUCAGAGCAGAGAUGGAAUCACUCCUAGACUGCCUCUAUGAAACUGCAAGAAACACCGCUUGGCUUCCUGUCUUCCUCAGAACUGAUCCCUCUGGUAUCCUGAUCGGUACAGCUAUGCAUGCCUUCAGGCAAGAGUGGACUUCUUGGGUAGCACAGCCCUUUCUACAGCAGGAUGCAAUGGUGUGUCCCACCAGUCAACAGUCACCUGGGGUGUCUGGCACCUGAGGCACCACACUGCAGCACUGUGUGAAAAUACAGUGAUAAGAAAUGAGAUGACACCACAGAAACCCUCAACUCUGGUAGCACUACAUGGGAAUAUAGUGAUAAGAAGUAAAAACAAAAUAAUUAUAAAGGAACAUCAGAGCCUCGUUGGAUAAAGAGACAAUCAGGCUUGUGCUUGGUUUAAACUGCUGCUUUUGUGGGGAACUAUAAAAAGAUUAGCACCAUCCUACACACUGUGGUGGUCCCUGCUCCAGAGAGCUGGAUGGAGCUCAGGACCUCCCACCCAGUGAGGAGGGGAUGCCUGCACCCUGAUUUCUGUGACAGAUGGGGCAUCAAGGUGUCCAAAUUUCGUAAGACAGCAACUUAACUGUGAACCUAAAGCAUGUGCAGAAUAAUAUUUAGUGCCCGGCUAUAGCAAAUUAGGCUGAGAGAUUAAUCUAAGAUUGAGUAAUAAAUGCUUAUUUGUUUGGGGCUGUGCCA